UGCCAGCGGGUAAUGCCGGGAACUCAAAGGAGACUGCCGGUGAUAAACCGGAGGAAGGUGGGGAUGACGUCAAGUCAUCAUGGCCCUUACGGCCAGGGCUACACACGUGCUACAAUGGCGCAUACAAAGAGAAGCGACCUCGCGAGAGCAAGCGGACCUCAUAAAGUGCGUCGUAGUCCGGAUCGGAGUCUGCAACUCGACUCCGUGAAGUCGGAAUCGCUAGUAAUCGUAGAUCAGAAUGCUACGGUGAAUACGUUCCCGGGCCUUGUACACACCGCCCGUCACACCAUGGGAGUGGGUUGCAAAAGAAG
rnacentral:rRNA from 1 species